AGUGAACGCUGGCGGUAGGCCUAACACAUGCAAGUCGAACGGCAGCACAGUAAGAGCUUGCUCUUACGGGAGGCGAGUGGCGGACGGGUGAGGAAUACAUCGGAAUCUACUUUUUCGUGGGGGAUAACGUGGGGAAACUUACGCUAAUACCGCAUACGACCUACGGGUGAAAGCAGGGGAUCUUCGGACCUUGCGCGAUUGAAUGAGCCGAUGUCGGAUUAGCUAGUUGGCGGGGUAAAGGCCCACCAAGGCGACGAUCCGUAGCUGGUCUGAGAGGAUGAUCAGCCACACUGGAACUGAGACACGGUCCAGACUCCUACGGGAGGCAGCAGUGGGGAAUAUUGGACAAUGGGCGCAAGCCUGAUCCAGCCAUACCGCGUGGGUGAAGAAGGCCUUCGGGUUGUAAAGCCCUUUUGUUGGGAAAGAAAAGCAGCAGGUUAAUACCCCGCUGUUCUGACGGUACCCAAAGAAUAAGCACCGGCUAACUUCGUG
rnacentral:rRNA from 1 species